UCCUACGGGGCGCAGCAGUGGGGGAUAUUGCACAAUGGGGGGAACCCUGAUGCAGCGACGCCGCGUGGGUGAAGAAGCGCCUCGGCGCGAAAAGCCCUGUCAGCAGGGAAGAAAAUGACGGUACCUGAAGAAGAAGCCCCGGCUAACUACGUGCCAGCAGCCGCGGUAAUACGUAGGGGGCAAGCGUUAUCCGGAUUUACUGGGUGUAAAGGGGGCGCAGACGGCGAUGCAAGCCAGGAGUGAAAGCCCGGGGCCCAACCCCGGGACUGCUCUUGGAACUGCGUGGCUGGAGUGCAGGCGGGGCA
rnacentral:rRNA from 1 species